CCCUGCUCUCUUUUCUCUCUCACGCGUACCUCGUCUCUCUCCCUCCAUUUCCGCUCUCUGAACCAAAAAAAAAAAAAUAAAAGCCCAGAUCAUCUCGACCAUCCAUCAUCGGCUCGUCCCCCGUCCCAUCUCCGGCCAGCGGCACUCCAUCUCCGGAUCUAUUGAAGAGAUCAUGUCAAUCUUGAAAGACGUUGCAAUUCGUCGCCCUGUCUCGGCCACAAUCCGGCUCACUGUCCCAGCUGGAGCUGCUCGACCAGCCCCACCAGUGGGACCCGCCCUCGGUCAGUAUCGUCUAAACCUAAUGGCAUUUUGCAAGGAUUUCAACGCCAGGACUCAGAAGUACAAGCCUGAUGCACCAAUGGCAGUCACGAUCACAGCGUUCAAAGACAACACUUUUGAGUUCACCGUCAAGUCUCCUUCAGUCACUUGGUAUCUUAAAAAAGCUGCUGGAAUUGAGUCAGGAAGCACUCGGCCUGGUCACAUUGUUGUAUCCAGUAUAACUCUUAAGCAUGUUUAUGAGAUUGCGAAGCUGAAGCAAACUGACCCAGGUAGUCAGCACAUGUCGAUUGAGGCUAUAUGCAAGUCUAUUAUUGGUACUGCCAAUAGCAUGGGUAUUCAAGUCGUGAAAGAGCUUUGAAUCGUAUCACCAUUUUACACUUGUUGAAGGGACACACUUAGUAUUACAGUGAAUUGCUCAGACCAAGUCUAUACAUUAGGUUGAUCAAUUGGUAUUAGAGCAAAUAAGAUCCUACUGCGAGGGUUUACUAUGCAUGGUCGCAACUCGACAAAGAUCAUAUGACAUGGGAGCUAGAUCAAAUAAAGAGCUCAAGUUACAAUAGCAAAAAAUACCUCAACAAAUGGCAGAAUACGAUUUUGCAUCACGGAUGGCUAGGAUGGAGAUACACAUGGAUUCUUUAAUGACCGUGACGGAAAGGUGGUGUUUUAGGUUUCUUCAAACCCUUCUUCUUCUAAACAAAACACAAAAGAUUCUACAAGAGAUGCUAGAUCGGCAAAAUUAAACAAAGCAGUAGUUUUAGAUGAUGAAUAUAA